UCUGAAAUAUGGAGGCAAAGUUAUAACGAGAACAAGUUGUCAGAGACCCAGAAACAUUCUUGUACUGGAAUGCUUUUUUGCAAUAUACAUGUGAUGAGAGUCAGUUCUUUCUAGAAGGAUAAACCUAGUCACAUUUUCCCAACUGGGACCUGAUAAUUAGAGAUACCCAUUUCGUUAUCCUUCUGUCUCGUUUUCUCCACGUCGAGUAAGGUUCGUUUAAAUAAAGUGUGCUUCACAUAGGUUAGAGAGACUGAUUACAAAGCCAUUGGUGUAAGAAAUAAAGAUCGGAGAUAUUGUGACGUGUAGACGAAGUGAUGGAAACGUAUCAUUUUCAUUUCUAGGGCCCCAAACGAUAUGACGUGAAGUCCUGAAAAUGUGACCUGUGACAGUGACAUAAGCCAAUGCCUUGUGUGUCACAACCAGGAGUCCGUGAUGAUGAAGACAGGGAGAAAUUGUGUUAGGGUGAAUGAUGAUGUGAUGUAAGAUAGUUCUCCAGAGAUAAUACAAGUUAUUCAAACCAAUGGACAAGUAAAAGAAGGAAAAAAAAGUCACCCAAAUUCUGUUACCCAGAGGAUCCUAUUCUCAUGCUAUUUGGAUUUGGAGAAUCAUCAAGAGAAUGGAAUGACUAACUGGAGGCUACAGUCCAGAAAACAUGGUACAAAUUUUCCCUUAAAAAUAGAAGAUAGAAAGUGUUUCCUUUUCACACUGUGUCCCUUUUCAAGUGGCCUGUGAUGUUAUGAAGUUCAAUAACCACUUCAUUGGCAUGAUUCAGACGCUGGAAUAACUGGAUGUGAUCAUUUAAACUAUCACUUGGUCUGGAGGAAGCCAUCUGCUAUGUCAUGAGGACAGUUUAGUGACCUAUGAAGAGGCCCAUGUGGUGAAACUGAGGCCCUCUGCCAAUAGCUGGACCAGAACUGAGGCCUUUUGUCAAGAGUUAUGUGAGUAAGCCAUCCUGGAAGCAGAUUCAACAGCCCUAGUCAAGCCUUUGGAUGACACAGCCCUGCCUGACACCUUGAUUUGAGCCUUAGGAGACCCUGAGACAGAACCUAUUCUUCUAGGCUGCUUCUUGGACUUCUGACCCUCAGAAAUUGUACUAGAUGAUACAUGUUUAUUGCUUUAAGUUACUUUAAUUUUAAGUCACUUUAAUUUUUUUUUUCACAUUGCAAUAAACAACUAAUAUGUCUACCGUUUAUUUGUUACUGUGACUGAUGCUGGCAAUGAAUAGAGCUUGAUCUGACCCUCUAGAAGCUAACAGUACCCAGAAAAGCAACAACUGAUAUAUAAGCACCUACAUACAACAGAGUACAACAGAUGCUAUAAGGGAGAUCCCUUACAAAAAUGCCAUAGGAGGCAGGAGAUAACAAUUAACUCCAUUUGGAGAGAAAAGGGUCCCCAAAAAGAAAAAUAGACAUCUGGAAAUUAAUCUCCAAGAAAAAUGAGGACUUUUCCAGCGAAGAAGAGGGAAUAGCAAAUGCAAAGAUCCAGAAAUGAGAAACCAUUGCAUGUCUUAGGGAAUGUGUUCUAUAUAGUUACAGCCAAGGAUUCACAUAAGGAUUCCUUGCUAGGGAAGAUGGAUUUCUUCUAAGAUAUGAGAAGUCCUUGAUUGACAGGGUUUAAGCAGAAGAUUGACAUGAUCAGAUAUAUGUUUUAGACAGACAACUAUUCUAAGUUUCACCAGAAAGGCCUAAUAGGACUAGAAGCGGGAAGAAAUGGAGGUCAUAGAGAAAACUCUUGCUGUUCUUCUCAGCAGCUACUCCUGUUAGAGACUAGUGAGCUUCUGAUGUGACUGUAUCACUCAUAUUUUUUUAUUAAUCCUUUAAUUAAGAUAUAUAUUUUUAUAAGGGCACCUGGGUGGCUCAGUUGGUUAAGCAUCUGUCUUAGGCUCAGGUCAUGGUCCCAGAGUCCUGGGAUCGAG